AUUUUGUUUCCAUGCUGCACAAAUUCAAAUGUUAAAUAAGUCAAACCUGAGGGAAAAAUCAGUUGUGAUCUAUACGAAACAUCCUCUGAAUAAAUCCAGAGUAGGCAGGGGGUUCUGUUCUAUCUGUUUCUGCAGGUUUAUCACUGCUAACACAGAGAGAGAGGACGUGAGAGUGGAGGGGUGGAUUAAUGCGCUCAUUAUGGGGAGGAUUCGGCUCAUUGCAGUUUUGACGCUGAUACAUGUAAUCCAGCAUUUUGGUAAUGGAGCUACAAGCUUCCUCAUUGGUUGCUUUUAAUUGCUCUGACAGAACAGGGCCAAGAUAUCGUCCGUGUCCUAAAGCUUGCUGCUGUGUGACAGUCAAUAUUCAAUAUGCGUACAUAUUUAACAAUUAAAUACAGUGUGUUUUCAGAUUAUCAAAAGAGGGGGCGAUUGUGGUCAGUCAUGAGAAGAGAUCGAUUUAUCCUCAGAGUUUCAGUUCCACAUAGAGAGCUGUUCAUCUAUUUGUAUGAAAAGUUAGACACAUUGUUACAACUGAAUACAAUAUUUGGACUGUUUAGUUUAUUUGGUUACCGUGGUUCAUUUUAAAAUGAAGAGUAUGCUUGUCCUGCUCUCCAACCUAUUAUCUCUCAAUUGAUAUCAGAGACAGCAGAUCCAGUUACCAUGCGGGGGAUAAAUUGCUUUAGAAAUGGGUGGACUGAUAGAUGGGUGGGUGGAUAGAUGACAUUGAAAAUAAUUACUUUUGACUAUUUUAUUUCUGUUUCUUUCUGUGCAAACUGGCCUUAGUGUAUUUGUAUCCAUGAGUUUGGCAGGAUGGGAUACCUCUUUUCAUUUGUUUGCCUUUUGCAAUACAAUUUUAAUUUUGCAGUAACAAGUUGAUAUAUUAUGUUGUUCUAAGCAGACAUGAUUAAAAUUUGUAUUUUCUGGUCACUUACUGGCUAUUUAUUCUUUCCUCUUUUAGGACUAAUUUUCAAUCUUUUAAUUUUUGAAAGCAAAAUGUCUACAGAGAGGUUGUGCAUCUUUAAACGAGAAGAGCUCUCGCCUCAGAAAACUCUAGCACUGAGUAAACCCAUUUGUAAAAUGACUAUAGCCAAUAUAAUACUCCAUAUUUGUGCUUUCAGUGCAAGGAAACAAGGCAAAGUUAAACUGGAUAAAAUAAAAUUCUAACUCAGAAAGAUGACAGCGGUGCAAGAAAUGAGAAUGCUGAGCACUGCUGCAACAUGUCACAUCUGGUAAUAUCGUCACGGUCCAGGUUAACAACUGGGGUGAUGACAGGGUGGGCUGCGGUGAAGGGGAGAGCAGCCCGUAGUUUAUCAGGGGAAGAGGAGGAACUGCGGGGACACUAACAAGCUGGUGGUGAGAUUUGGAGGUUCAGGGAAGUGAAGAAAAGUUAUUGUUGGAGAGUGAAGGAGUGAGAGGCAAGGGAGCGCACUGAGAUAAGAGCAGUGAUGGUGGUAUGGUAUGGGAACAGGAGAAGAGUUUAUCCGAGCUGACUGAAUGUCCUCCAUUGUUGAGGUCCCAGUCUGCUUGCUUCCACACAGAUGUGCUUCAGAGGACAGAGGGGCAGAGACGAGGAAUUUGACAAUCUGCAACGCUAUCUCUCAAUCUGCACCCGCAGCUGCUACCAAAGGACUUCCCUUCACUUCUCUCACUCGUUCUCUGAUAUAUUGUGGUUACAGCUGUAGCGGAACUAAGUUCGUGUGAGCAAGAGGAAACGCAUCAACUAAAGUGAAAUCAACCAGAGAAGAUUUGAGGGAUGAUAGCGCUCCUCCUUAUUAGAGUAUCUACGUGCAAAAACGCCUGUUGAUGGCAAAGGUCAAAGGAGAAUGGCCCGGCUGCUUUGAACUGAUGGGAAAGCAACAGUAACUCAAAGUAUGCAGAAGAGCACAACAUAUCGAACCUUGAAGCAGAUGGGCUGCAACAGCAGAAGACCACACCGGGUCCCACUCCUGUCACAGGAAACUGAAUCUACACUUCACAUAGGCUCACCUAGAGACCUGAAGAUAUGAGUCAAAUUUGGGAUGCUAGUGGUGGUAUAGUGCAUGGAGGAUAUAUUCUUGGCCCACUUUGGGCCCUGUAGUACCAGUUCACUCGCUUCUAAAUGCUAAAACCUACCUUUUGUAAACUGUGAGCUAAGCGGAGAUUUCUAACUUUCAUUUAAGGGAAUUAACAAAAGUAAGGCAUGUGUGGAAUUUAAUCUCUGGCUCUCUUCCACAGAGAGCCAGAGAUUUGGCUCUUGUCCUCCCCUCACCCCCAACUAGUCGCCACAGAUACCCGCCCCUUCCUGAGCCUGAUCCAGUCAGAUGUUUCUUCCUGUUAAAAAGGAGUUUUUCCUUCCCACUGUCGCCAAGUGCUUGCUCAAAUGGGAUCAUUUGAUUGUUGGCGUUUUAUCUGUGUUAUUGUAGCAUCUUCACCUGACAAUGUAAACUGCCCUGUUGUGAUUUGGCACUAUAUAAUAAAACUGAACUGAAUUACAGUCACUUUUA
ensembl:lncRNA